rnacentral:tRNA from 1 species
GGCUCGGUAGCUUAGUUGGUAAAGCACUUGUCUAGCGAAUAGGGUCGUGAGUUCAAAUCUUAUUUGAGCUG